GUCACGCGAGCGCGCACGCAAAGCGGGGUGGGAGAAAGCCAAUGCGUUUUCCUCUUAGGCGGCGCCAUUUUGUGCUCAGAGCCGCUACAUCCGACGCUGGAAUCGGUGGCGGAGACGGGCACUCAAGGAAGGCGGAGGCUGUCGCAAGGUCGGGCGACUCGGGCCCUGGCUCAGGCGCUUCGGAGACCGGGACGCGGCGGCUCAGCACCCUGCAGGCGCAGCUUAAGAAGCGGAACCUGGACACUGGCGGCAACAAGAGCGUCCAGAUGGAACGGCUCAAGGUGAGAUGGGCUGAGGGUCGGGGGUGGCGCAGGAGGCCCGGGGACGUUCCAGCGCGGGCCUGUCACCGCGCUUCCGGGACGCAGGGCGCCCCCGGCCCGCCCCGCUAUUGACCGCCCGGGGCCCGAGCUCCUGGGUAGUCACUGGUCCUGUCUGUGCCUCGCUUCUUACUUUCCUUGCAGCUAUUCCCCUCAGUGCCCUUAAAAGUCUUCUUGGCUACCACGGUGGCUGUUCGACCCAGUUCCAGAUUUGGCUCCGUGACCUUGGGCAGGUGUCUUUCUCUGUUCAUUUUCCUCCUCUGGAGAAUGUGUGCCUGAAGAACCACUGAGAAUUUGCAGUAAAGGGGGGCGGUCCUUGCUGCCCCAGGGCCUUCGCACUUACUGUGCUGGCCACUCACUGGGACUGCUGGUCCCCUAGGUCUUCCCCUCGGCAGGCGUCACUUUAGAACUGCGACAUUGUCUCCCUGAAGUGCUGCGCCAUCUCCUUGUUCCUGUCUGUGGCACCAUCCUGUGUUUACACUCCACCGUGCAAUACUUGACACACUUGUGUCCGUGGGGAUUGUCUCUCCUCCACUGGAGCAAGCUUUGCGAGGGUAGACAUCUUGUAACCGGUUGUGUAGCAGGGAAACGUUUAGUCAAUGUUUUUAGUCCCCCCACAUUUCAGAUGAGUUCACAUUGUUCACAUUAUGGCUUCGGCUGGGAGCUCUAAGUGGCCUUGAUAGCAGUAUUUAUCCCAGCCUUGCUAAUCUCAGCGGCUACAGUCUCAAUUAAGCAGAAAAGAGAGAACUCUAGCAAAAUUUGCUGACCACAACUUUUAAGUUUCGUCAUACUGAUUCAUUCUCUUUUGAGUUUCUUUCCCAGGAACGGUGGGACCUGCUAGAAAGCCUUACACCACCUGCUUGUCCAGCGAAGACAAGGUUGUUGGGGCCAAGGUGGUAACCAACGCCCACAGUCCUGGGGCUCGGUGCUACGAACGGAGGUGCAUGGAAGAAUGAUCUCCGUAGAGAAGGCCAAAAAUGAGCCUGCUCGGAAGAACGUAUCUGACAGAAAAGAGUGCGAAGUGAAGCGGAAAAAAUUAUCCAGGGCUAGCAGAUACCACUGUGUGGAGAUGAAAAUCUGUGCAAAGCAGUACAGCCAAAUUGAAGAGCUUCAUAAUUAGGAUAGUAGAAAUACUAUUUCUGUAAAUGAUUUUGAAGGCAUAUUCAUUUUUUAAAAAAAUUACAGCUGAUGGCUUUAAACAGCUUCAUUUAAUUUUACAGAAGGACAACUAUGCAGAAGUAGACUGAAUAGCAUUGUGACACAAAGUAGGGGCCUAGUUCUUUAACUAUUUAGCCACUUCCAUCCCUCCCCUGUAUCUUAACAAUGAACCAACAGUUUUCUGUUCAACCAAGCCACAUAAUGCAAAACCUAAAUUUCUGUGGUGGUUCUCUCUCCAGUAAGAUGUCACCAUGUGCCAUUUGAGGCAGCAGCGAUGUCUUAUUUAUCACUGGGUAUGUGAGCAAAAAGAACCCAACUCCCUUUCAGACUCAGAGCAACAGUAUGUGAUAACCUCUUGAAAAGCAGCCAAUGCGGGUCAAGAGCCCUGGAGAGCAGCUACACCCACACUUCAUGCUAACAUGUGCGCCACCUCAAAGUAAAUCCUACACUACUCUACCCAGGAGGAAUAACUUCCCUCAUUUCACAGCUGGACAAACAGUCUCAGUAGGAAGUGGUGACAAGUUAUACCCCCAGCUCUGAUACUGCAACCUGGGUUUUUAACCACUGGGCCACACUGCUCCAUCAAAGAAAAUCCAGAAGACUAGUCUAGUUUUGCUGCAUGGAAUGUAAGAUUUACCUCCAGAAGCAGGGAGAAGGGAAUCACGUGAGAGGCAUGAAAUUCCUCCCGAGGCAGAAGAGCAUCCCCAAGACAGAGGGCAGGAACAUGGGCACCCCCAGCCACAUGACGUAAUCGAGGGAGGACGAUGAGAUUGAAAAGUGAAGCUUCUGCUAGAGCUGAGGAAAAGCUAACGGGCAAGAGGCAUCAACUCUGCCACAACGGCCUCACCACAGCCUUCCCCCCUGUCCCCACGUUUUCAAGUAAACCCACUAAAGAUCUGAGACUCUUGCUGGGAAAUCCUCAACCCACAUGUAAGAGACAGAAGACAAAGAUGAAAUUGAGCUUGUUCUUCUCAUGUGCUAAUCCUGCAACGGGAACGAGUGUGGCCAUAGACUGUGUUGUUUUCCAAGGCUGAGUGGGGCCCUGGGCUGCCCAGGUGAAGCGUGGGCUUCUCCUUGCCUCAGACACAAACAGGGAAGGCCCUUGGGAGCAGACACACCAACCACAGCUUCACUAGGCGCACGUGGAGCAGACCAGUCCACGACGCAGAAGCACGCGAGUGCUGCAUGCUCACCAGGCACCUUCCCACACAGCCAGGCGAGCCCCACCCCGAGGCUUGCCAGCACUGCGCAGUGUGGUCAGUGAGCGCCGCACACACAAACUCAGUCAGGGUCUGGGCCAAAAGAGGCUUCAGAGUAACUCUCUGGAUUCAAGGCCAAGACCAAGCACAAACAUCCCACAUUUUCAUCCCAAACACAAAGGUGCUCUGCUUUUCCUUCCCUCACUUUUCCUCUCACUCCAGUGGGAGGAAGGAGGAUGUGAGCAGAGGGGAAAGGAAGCAACGCUGUGGGAAAAG